AUGCACAUUGUGCUCGCUCGCGUGCUUCGCCAUGGCGUGCUCGCCUUGGAUGACAUCCUUGUUCACACAAAAGAAUUGGAGGCUCACAAAAAGUUGCUGCGACAAGUUCUCGGGCUCCUACAUCAACAUGGGCUCAAAGCCAAAAUGUCCAAAUGCACCUUUGCGCAGCAAAAGAUCAGUUAUUUGGGCCAUAUCAUCAGUGACCAGGGAGUGGCCACAGACAGCACCAAUGUCCUGGUUGUACAGCAGUGGCCUGUUCCAACAAUACAAAAGAACUCAGGGGUUUCUUUGGUCUAG
rnacentral:rRNA from 1 species